rnacentral:rRNA from 1 species
AGUGAACGCUAGCGAUAGGCUUAACACAUGCAAGUCGAGGGACCGGCGCACGGGUGCGUAACGCGUAUGCAACUUGCCUCACAGAGGGGGAUAACCCGUCGAAAGACGGACUAAUACCGCGUACUGUGAGAUAGGCAUUCGGCCCAUUAGCUAGUUGGUGAGGUAACGGCUCACCAAGGAAACGCUGGGUAGGGGAACUGCGAGGUUGAACCCGUGCACUGGUACUGAGACACGGACCAGACGCCUACGGGAGGCAGCAGUGAGUAAUAUUGGUCAAUGGGCGAGAGCCUGAACCAGCCAAUUCGCGUGAAGGAUGACUGUCUAUUGAUUGUAAACGUCUUUUGUAGGGGAAUAUGUACCCUACGAAUAAGCAGCGGCUAACUCCGUGCCAGCCGCCGCGGUAAUUC